rnacentral:rRNA from 1 species
GACCUCCGACAAGCAAGAGGACCCGCUGAAUUUAAGCAUAUAACUAAGCGGAGGAAAAGAAACUAACCAGGAUUCCCCUAGUAAGGGCGACUGAAGCGGGAUCAGCCCAGAUUGUAAAUCUUCGGAAUUGUAGUCUAAAGGUCGCUCGCCAGCGAAGGGCGCCGGGUAAGUCUCCUGGAACGGAGCUUCCGAGAGGGUGAAAGGCCCGUCCCCCGGUGCGUUGCCGCGUACGGCGUGCGUCCGACGAGUCGAGUUGCUUGGGAGUGCAGCUCUAAUUGGGUGGUAAAUUCCAUCUAAGGCUAAAUAUCGGUGGGAGACCGAUAGCGAACAAGUACCGUGAGGGAAAGAUGAAAAGACCUUUGAAAAGAGAGUAAAAAGUACCUGAACUUGCUGAGAAGGAAUCGUAGGUAACCAGUGUUGCUUCGGCGCGUCUGGGUGAGUUUGCGGUCCGGGACAGGUUCUGCCGGCCCGCAGACUGAGGUUUCCCUUCGGGUUGAGACCCCGGCGAAAUGGUUCUCUACACCCCGUCUUGAAACACGGACCAAGGAGUCUCACAUAUGUGCGAGUACAGGGGUGGCAAACCCCCGUGCGCAGUGAAAGCAAAGGCUGCCUGGCAGCUGAGGUGGGAGCUUCGGCGCACCAUCGACCGACCAUCUUGCCCCCGGGCGGAAGGUUUGAGUGUGAGCAAGUAUGUGGGGACCCGAAAGAUGGUGAACUAUGCUUGAAUAGGCCGAAGCCAGGGGAAACUCUGGUGGAGGGUCGUAGCGAUUCUGACGUGCAAAUCGAUCGUCAAAUUUGAGUAUAGGGGCGAAAGACUAAUCGAACUAUCUAGUAGCUGGUUCAUGCCGAAAUUUCCCUCAGGAUAGGUGUAAUCGCGAUCAGUUUUAUCAGGUAAAGCGAAUGAUUAGAGGCCUCGGGGGCGAAAUGCCCUCGACCUAUUCUCAAACUUUAAAUGGGUAAGAUCCCGGCGUUGCUUAAGUGAACGCUGCGGUCGAAUGACGGUUACAACUGGGCCAAUCCGGAUCCCACAAAAGGUGUUGGUUCAUAUGGACAGCAGGACGGUGGCCAUGGAAGUCGGAAUCCGCUAAGGAGUGUGUAACAACUCACCUGCCGAAUGAACUAGCCCUGAAAAUGGAUGGCGCUGAAGCGUGCGACUUAUACCCAGCCAUCAGGCCAAGUGGUACGACCUGAUGAGUAGGCAUGCGUGGGGCUCGUGGCUAAGCGCGCGGCGUGAGCCGGCGUGGAACGGGCCCUAGUGCAGAUCUUGGUGGUAGUAGCAAACAUUCAAAUGAGAACUUUGAAGGCCGAAGUGGAGAAAGGUUCCAUGUGAACAGCAAUUGGACAUGGGUGAGCCGAUCCUAAGGCACAGGAGAAGUCCGGAAAGGCGGCGCGUUUCAUCUCGUGUGGAGGCGCCCGCGUGCCGAAAGGGAAAGCGGUUAAAAUUCCGCUGCCAGAACGUGGAUAUUGAGUGGCAACACGAACGAAGGCAGGAACGUCUGCGGGAGCCCCGGGAAGAGUUGUCUUUUCUUGUUAACAGCGCGCUGGACCCUGGAAUCUAGUUGAUAGGCGAUAGGGUGCAGGGCCUGGAAAAGGUGCAUAUCCUGUGUGCGCUCCGGUGCGCUCCCGACGGCCCGUGAAACCCUGCCGGCGUGACUUAUUUGCACCUCUGGUCGUACUCAUAACCGCAUCAGGUCUCCAAGGUGUGCAGCCUCUGGUCGAUAGAAUAAUGUAGAUAAGGGAAGUCGGCAAAAUAGAUCCGUAACUUUGGGAAAAGGAUUGGCUCUGAGGGUUGGGCCCUUGGGUCCCACUGACGACG